GGCCACAACAAAAGUUCAUCCAUGUGGACACCUUGUAAUAUGUAAGGGAUGUUCAAACGUUACACUUCAACGAUGUUUGAAGUGCGGGAAACCUGUAACGAGCAGAACUGGAGAUGAGGCUCCAAAGUUUGAAGACAGGUGUGUACAAAUAGAGGCUAUAUGUCAGGAAAUAGGGGCUGCAUCUCAGGCAAUUGGGGCUCCAAAUUGUGAGGACAGGUGUGUACAAACAGAGGCUACAUGUCAGGAAUUAGGGGCUACAUCUCAGGCAAUUGAGAGUCCAGUUCUGAAGGAGAAAGAUCUUCUGAGAGUGGCUAAGAGGUUAGGACGUGAUUGGUGGCAAAUAGGUGAGUAUAUUUGAUUUCUAUAUAUUUUACUUUCACCUGAUCUAUUUUAUUUGUCAGAAUGAAUGAGAACAAGUUACAUUCCUCAUUUCCAAUUGAUAG